rnacentral:rRNA from 1 species
UGGGGAAUAUUGCACAAUGGAGGGAACUCUGAUGCAGCGACGCCGCGUGAGUGUUGAAGGACUUCGUUUCGUAAAACUCUGUUCUAUGGGAAGAAAAGGACUGUACCAUAGGAGAAAGCUCCGGCUAAAUACGUGCCAGCAGCCGCGGUAAUACGUAUGGAGCGAGCGUUGUCCGGAAUUAUUGGGCGUAAAGGGUGCGCAGGCGGCUUUACAAGUUGGAUGUGAAAUAUUGUGGCUCAACCACAAACGUGCAUCCAAAACUGCAAAGCUUGAGUUAAGGAGAGGUAAGUGGAAUUCCUGGUGUAGCGGUCGAAUGCGUAGAUAUCAGGAGGAAUACCGGUGGCGAAGGCGACUUACUGGACUUAAACUGACGCUCAGGCACGAAAGCGUGGGGAGCAAACAGG